rnacentral:rRNA from 1 species
UUACGGUCAAAUCACGCUGAAACACCGGUUCUCGUACGAUCACCGAAGUUAAGCAUCGUAGAGCCAGGUCAGUAUUUAGAUGGAGGACCGCUUGGGAACACCUGGUACUGUAAG